ensembl:lncRNA
UUGCUAAUGAAAUCCAAGUGCUGGAGCAGGAAGCUGGCAGAAGUGGCCCUGUUUGCUACAGCACUGCUUCCUGGGAGGGGAGAAACACCAAGGAGCCCUGGGCGACUGCCGUCUUGCCAUGGAUUCUAUUGCAGAGUAGGGAGCGCUCAGCCCGGAUGGGAUUUUCUGUCAGCUUGACAGUGUCACUUCAUGUCUUCCAAGAAUUCCCGAGAGCUUCUUGUCUACUGAUAUGGUGGUUGGAGCCCCAGCAGCCAUUUUGGACCAUGAGGAUGGAAACCAUGGAAUAAGUAUGGUGUGGCAGAAAGACCAAAGGAGGCUGAGUCCCUGAUAAUAUAAUGGAGCUGCUGCACCAACUCUUAACUGUCUGACUCCAGACUUCUUUGAUUUGAGAGACUAAACCACGGAUUUAUUUAAGCCACUGUUGUCAAUAAAAAGCAGUUAGGAAUACAGUUCCUAGAAGGCACAUUCAUAGUUUCAUUUCACACUAGAAAAAUGGAAUGAAAUGUGUUAUAAGUUGUUUGUUGGGGGGAGGGGGCUUGCUUUUUUCCCUUGAGGUGAUAAAAGCAACAUGUUCUCAGUAUUUACCAGCAAACCAAAGGCAAAGUUCAUUGUCACAAUGUGAGGAGCCCCACUGAGACAACUAUUUAUUGGCCUAAAUUGGUUUUUCAGAUCUCUGGAGCUGAACACUGGGAGGUGGUGUGAGAGGGUGAGGAGACUGCGUAUGUCUACCUAGGAAGGGGACUAAACAGGAAGGAGACCAGCAGCCCAUCUUAUCCUUGGAAAGGUGGGUUUGUAUUUCUGCCCCUAGUACAGGUAGGUAGGUGUGAGAUCCACCUUGAAUCUAUGGGAAAGCUGAGUAUACUCCCUGGACUGGGAUAUGGUGUAGAUGGGUCCGGGGUCAAAUCUUGUGACCAGAAUUUAGCCCAGUGGCCUGAAUUCUUGGUCCCGAUUUCCCCCACCUAAAACAAUCACGCCUCCAGAUGCUUUUCAGACUGGCAUGUAACACUCUUCCAAAAGAUGAAAAUUGCUCUCAUUCUUUAAGGCGGGACUCCGCUGUCACCUCCUCCUGUCCCGAUUUUCACCAGGAAAGUCUCCACUCUCUUCUCUGUGCCCUUCAUCACAUAGAUUCCACUUAUUACAUUAUAUAGUAAUUACUUGUUUAUAUGACUCUAAUUCUCAUUAGUUUGGGGGCUCCAUGGGGGUGCAGGAAGGAAGGCCAAUAUGACUGCACAUCUCUGGAGCCCGGCUAGUACACCUAAGUGUUCAAGGUUAAGUGAAUUAAAUCCCAUCAAUUACUCAUUUUAAAAAAUUCAUCUAGUAGGUUCUUCAUCAAGUUUAAGGAAAAAAUGUAACCUCAUUGUCCCUCUGGGGCAAGCUUGUCCAAUGAACGAUUUGGUUCAACUUUUAUGUAACAAAGUUGUGAGUUGUUUCUCAGCUGCCACAAACCCUCAGCUCAUGUAACUUAAGCAUGCUUACAUGAACCAAGCUUGCAACUUCUGGGGAAAUGUAAGUGCCCAGACCAAGGAGCGGGGACUGAAUGGAGAAGCAGAUAUCACACGGCAGGAUCCAGAAUCCAAUCAGAUCAGGCUCUGCUGUCACCUCAUGGCAGGACCCAGUCAGAUCAGGCCUCCUGACAUCACCUCAUUUCAAGAUCCAAUCAGAUUGCACCUCAUUACCCUAUGCUUAUAAAACCUGACCCAGCCCCAGCUCGAGGAGGCACUGCUUUGGAAGCUAUCCCUGGUGUUCCUCUUACUUGUUGCGAGUAAUAAAAACCCCCUUGUUAAACCCCUCUUGGUUGUGGUCAUUGGGCUGUCACCGGCCAAGCUACAAAACCUAUCCAUUGUGUGGGUAACAAGCUGAACUUCAUCUAAGAGGUUGAGAGAUUUAUCAUAAGUGGGAGAAGAGUGGGAAGGUGUUCCAUGGCCUUCUUCAUGAAGUUCUUGCUGAUUCUGUGGUUGUUCUCCUCGUUUAUUUGACCGUAAAUUCUUGCAUUGCUC